CGCUUAACCGCUGUGCCACCCAGGCGCCCCCCAAAGGAAUUUUUAUGUGUUAAAGUAAACUUACAGGACCCUGGGGGUCGGGAUAAGAUUGCCUCUUGCCCUCAGCAAAGUGUUAACAUCGAGGCAGCUGAGUUCCUGGAGGAAGGUCGCUCUGCCUGUUUCAAGGACUUGUCAAUGGACUGACACCCGCGGAAGAUGCAGCGGCUUCCCUUUGCCACCUGCCCCCUGCCACCUGCCUAACCCGGACAUCUACCCUGCCCUUCGCUCUUGGUUUCCCGCAGCUCUUAAGAAGGCCUGCUGGCGUCAUGUUCCAUACGUGGCUGAAGUUAGCCCUUGGCAGUCCCAUGUUCCCAAAGCGCUUACGGAAAGCCACCGCAGAUCUGUGAGGCUGGACCUCUUGUCAGGUUCUGUAGGCGAAGAAACACAAAGGCCUCGUUCUUUUGUCUGGAUGUGAGGAACAAACAGAAAGUGAUCGGGAAGCUAAU